rnacentral:rRNA from 1 species
AGAGUUUGAUCCUGGCUCAGGACGAACGCUGGCGGCGUGCUUAACACAUGCAAGUCGAACGAGGAUCAUUUGGAUGAGAGCUUCGGCAGGAUUUUGAAUGGUUCGAGUGGCGGACGGGUGAGUAACGCGUGAGCAAUCUGUCCCAGACAGGGGAAUAACACUUGGAAACAGGUGCUAAUACCGCAUAAGACCACAGUAUCGCAUGGUACGGGGGUAAAAGGAGGAAUCCGGUUUGGGGUGAGUUCGCGUCCGAUUAGAUAGUUGGUGAGGUAACGGCCCACCAAGUUGAAGAUCGGUAGCCGACCUGAGAGGGUGAUUGGCCACAUUGGAACUGAGAGACGGUCCAAACUCCUACGGGAGGCAGCAGUGGGGAAUAUUGGGCAAUGGGCGAAAGCCUGACCCAGCAACGCCCCGUGAGUGAAGAAGGCUUUCGGGUUGUAAAGCUCUGUUAUAGAGGACGAAGGAAGUGACGGUACUCUAUAAGGAAGCCCCGGCUAACUACGUGCCAGCAGCCGCGGUAAUACGUAGGGGGCGAGCGUUGUCCGGAAUGACUGGGCGUAAAGGGCGUGUAGGCGGCCGUUUAAGUAUGGAGUGAAAGUCCACUUUUCCAGGGUGGAAUUGCUUUGUAGACUGGAUGGCUUGAGUGCCGAAGAGGUAAGUGGAAUUCCCAGUGUAGCGGUGAAAUGCGUAGAGAUUGGGAGGAAACACCAGUGGCGAAGGCGACUUACUGGGCCGUAACUGACGCUGAGGCGCGAAAGCGUGGGGAGCGAACAGGAUUAGAUACCCUGGUAGUCCACGCGGUAAACGAUGAAUGCUAGGUGUUGCGGGUAUCGACCCCUGCAGUGCCGGAGUAAACACAAUAAGCAUUCCGCCUGGGGAGUACGGCCGCAAGGUUGAAACUCAAAGGAAUUGACGGGGGCCCGCACAAGCAGCGGAGCAUGUUGUUUAAUUCGAAGCAACGCGAAGAACCUUACCAGGUCUUGACAUCAAUCGGAAUGAAGGGUAACGCCUUCAGUCCUUCGGGACCGAGAAGACAGGUGGUGCAUGGUUGUCGUCAGCUCGUGUCGUGAGAUGUUGGGUUAAGUCCCGCAACGAGCGCAACCCCUAUCCUAAGUAGCCAGCGGUUUGGCCGGGCACUCUUGGGAGACUGCCGGGGAUAACCUGGAGGAAGGCGGGGAUGACGUCAAAUCAUCAUGCCCCUUAUGAUCUGGGCAACACACGUGCUACAAUGGCGUAAACAAAGAGAAGCAGAGGAGCGAUCCCGAGCAAAUCUCAAAAAUAACGUCUCAGUUCGGACUGCAGGCUGCAACUCGCCUGCACGAAGCUGGAAUCGCUAGUAAUCGCGGAUCAGCCAUGGCGCGGUGAAUACGUUCCCGGGCCUUGUACACACCGCCCGUCAAGCCAUGAAAGCCGGGGGCGCCUGAAGUCCGUGACCGCGAGGGUCGGCCUAGGGUGAAACCGGUGAUUGGGGCUAAGUCGUAACAAGGUAACCGUA